rnacentral:tRNA from 1 species
AUUCAGGUGACUCAACGGGAUUCGAACCCAUGUUGGUUAGAGUACUGCACCGGCAUCGCAGAAGUCAUGGGUUCGAAUCCCGUUGAGUCACCUGAAUU